rnacentral:tRNA from 1 species
GGAGGGUAUAGCUCAGUGGUAAAGUGCAUACUUAGCAUGUAUGAGGUCCUGGGUUCAAUCCCCAGUGCCUCCA